AGUGAACGCUGGCGGUAGGCCUAACACAUGCAAGUCGAACGGCAGCACAGUAAGAGCUUGCUCUUACGGGUGGCGAGUGGCGGACGGGUGAGGAAUACAUCGGAAUCUACUUUUUCGUGGGGGAUAACGUAGGGAAACUUACGCUAAUACCGCAUACGACCUACGGGUGAAAGCAGGAGAUCUUCGGACCUUGCGCGAUUGAAUGAGCCGAUGUCGGAUUAGCUAGUUGGCGGGGUAAAGGCCCACCAAGGCGACGAUCCGUAGCUGGUCUGAGAGGAUGAUCCGCCACACUGGAACUGAGACACGGUCCAGACUCCUACGGGAGGCAGCAGUGGGGAAUAUUGGACAAAGGGCGCAAGCCUGAUCCAGCCAUACCGCGUGGGUGAAGAAGGCCUUCGGGUUGUAAAGCCCUUUUGUUGGGAAAGAAAAGCAGCAGGUUAAUACCCCGCUGUUCUGACGGUACCCAAAGAAUAAGCACCGGCUAACUUCGUG
rnacentral:rRNA from 1 species